AAUAAUAAUUGGUGAAAGAGAAACUGAUAGACACCAAAAUUUUUUUCUAUUUCAACCAAACAUGUAACUAUAGUAGUUGGGGGUAGAGGUGGAAAAGUAAGAGAAUGCAAGUGGUAUAUUAUCCAAUUAUUUCAGUUGACUUCAGAGACUCUGGUUCCAGUACCAGUUACUCCAUUCUUCAUCGUGGAAUCAUGGCCUGUCUCAAGAACUUUUGUGCAUCGUUAGCUCAGCUCAGGCUCGAAGAUACCAACCUUUUCCGAGGAAUGAGUUUGACCGAAUUAGUGGAUGAGGAGGAGGCAGUAACUAGAAUGAUGAGCUAGAAGCUUGGCUAGUCUCGAAAGCGCGUCAAGACAACAAUUGAGUUCAAUGAUGCGUUUACCACAUGGAAAAGCUGUUAGGAAAUCCCUAUUUCGUAGGGAUUCGGUAAAACCGUGUCUUGAAUCCCUAUUUUCAUGGGAUUGUUAUUAUAAUUAAUGCAUUUGAUAGUAUUAUUUAUUCAGAUAUUUAUUUCAAAUUUAAAUAUUUGAUUGUAACUUUCUUGAAUUUGGGGUAAGAUAUUCCUACAACCAUGUCUAUAAAUAGCAUGAAUUAUGUCAUUUGUAAGUACGCACAAAUUUGUACUGAAAAGAAACUCUGUCAAAUUGCUUU